UGGGGAAUUUUGGACAAUGGGCGAAAGCCUGAUCCAGCAAUGCCGCGUGUGUGAAGAAGGCCUCGGGUUGUAAAGCACUUUUGUCCGGAAAGAAAUCCUUGGCUCUAAUACAGUCGGGGGAUGACGGUACCGGAAGAAUAAGCACCGGCUAACUACGUGCCAGCAGCCGCGGUAAUACGUAGGGUGCAAGCGUUAAUCGGAAUUACUGGGCGUAAAGCGUGCGCAGGCGGUUUGCUAAGACCGAUGUGAAAUCCCCGGGCUCAACCUGGGAACUGCAUUGGUGACUGGCAGGCUAGAGUAUGGCAGAGGGGGGUAGAAUUCCACGUGUAGCAGUGAAAUGCGUAGAGAUGUGGAGGAAUACCGAUGGCGAAGGCAGCCCCCUGGGCCAAUACUGACGCUCAUGCACGAAAGCGUGGGGAGCAAAACAGGAUUAGAUACCCUGGUAGUCCACGCCCUAAACGAUGUCAACUAGUUGUUGGGGAUUCAUUUCCUUAGUAACGUAGCUAACGCGUGAAGUUGACCGCCU
rnacentral:rRNA from 1 species